rnacentral:rRNA from 1 species
CACGUAGGAGGCGAGCGUUGUCCGGAAUCAUUGGGCGUAAAGAGCGCGCAGGCGGCUUGGCAAGUCGGGUGUGAAAUCCCGGGGCUCAACCCCGGGACUGCAUCCGAUACUGUCAGGCUAGAGGUAGGUAGGGGAGAUCGGAAUUCCUGGUGUAGCGGUGAAAUGCGCAGAUAUCAGGAGGAACACCGGUGGCGAAGGCGGAUCUCUGGGCCUUACCUGACGCUCAGGCGCGAAAGCUAGGGGAGCGAACAGG